CUAUAACCUACAACAGCGAGCGCGGCGCGAAAACGCGCGUGAUAGGCACACAUGGACAAGGGAACGUGUUCUAUCUCAUUAGGUGUUCUGACGCUUAUCGCCAUCUAUCGCCAGAGAGAAUAUCGACAUUUACCGCUACGCACUGCUGCCCUCUGAAGAAGUGGAUGUAAACUACACAAUAUUCUUUUUGCGAUAAUCUGGCAAAAAACAAAAUUAUUUGUAGAGGCCCUCCAUCACCCCCGUCGGUUCUAAUCAGCGGUCCUCUUUGGACUA